GACGAACGCUGGCGGCGUGCCUAAUACAUGCAAGUAGGACGCAGUUGCGAACGGGUGAGUAACGCGUAGGUAACUGCCUAUUAGAGGGGGAUAACUAUUGGAAACGAUAGCUAAUACCGCAUACUAGUAGAUGGACCUGCGUUGUAUUAGCUAGUAGGUAGGGUAAUGGACUAACUAGGCGACGGUACAUAGCCGACCUUGAGAGGUGAUCGGCCAAACUGGGCAUGAGAAACGGCCCAGACCCCUACGGGAGGCAGCAGGAGGGAAACCUCGGCAAUGGGGGGAACCCUGACCGAGCAACGCCGCGGGAGUGAAGAAGGUUUUCGGAGCGUAAAGCUCUGUUGUUAAGGAAGCGGUACUUAACCAGAAAGGGACGGCUAACUACGUGCCAGCCGCCGCGGUAAUAC
rnacentral:rRNA from 1 species